rnacentral:piRNA from 1 species
UAUGGUGAUGUAGAUGAUGCGGUCUAC